GUGUCUGAGCUGGGGGACGGGCAGGGGGCGUGGCCAAACGGAGGGCAGGAAAAGCCCAUUGAAAAAACAUGCAGUAGAGGCAGCAGCAGAUCUGCCUCAGUGAGAGGGGAGUGCCUGCAUGCCACCUCAGAGCCCGCCCCUGUCAGGGAGGCAGAUUUGAUUGGCCAGUGACUGUGACCGUUUCCUGAUGCACUCUCAAUGCUGAGUCCGGAUCUCCCUCUCUCCAGGUCACCUUCCCUCCUCACCUACAAAUAUAUCUGCAUUCCUCGCUGGUCACCUUCCCUCCUCACCUACAAAUAUAUCUGCAUUCCUCGCUGGUAA